CAGCACCUCAAGUGGUCAGGAUGAUUAUUGGGCCUAAAGCGUCCGUAGCCGGCGCUGUAAGUUUUCGGUUAAAUCUGUAUGCUCAACAUACAGGCUGCCGGGAAUACUGCAGAGCUAGGGAGUGGGAGAGGUAGACGGUACUCGGUAGGAAGGGGUAAAAUCCUUUGAUCUAUUGAUGACCACCUGUGGCGAAGGCGGUCUACCAGAACACGCCCGACGGUGAGGGAUGAAAGCUGGGGGAGCAAACCGGAUUAGAUACCCGAGUAGUCC
rnacentral:rRNA from 1 species